UACGAAGGGGGCUAGCGUUGCUCGGAAUCACUGGGCGUAAAGGGUGCGUAGGCGGGGCUUUAAGUCAGGGGUGAAAUCCUGGAGCUCAACUCCAGAACUGCCUUUGAUACUGAAGAUCUUGAGUCCGGGAGAGGUGAGUGGAACUGCGAGUGUAGAGGUGAAAUUCGUAGAUAUUCGGAGGAACACCAGUGGCGAAGGCGGCUCACUGGUCCGGUACUGACGCUGAGGUGCGAAAGCGUGGGGAGCAAACAGG
rnacentral:rRNA from 1 species